CAGCAGCAGACGACUGUAGAGUGUAGUAGUUCGUGUCAUGCGUUCGUACGGUUUUGUGUUGUAUUUUUUGUGUAAUAUGUAAGGGAUUUGAUGGUGGAGACAGGAAAUCACGGAAACACACAUACUGAGUGCGUGGCUUAGGAGGGCAAUCAUGGACUGCAAGGGAACUAGUUGGGUGAAAAAAGAGAAGAAUGAAAUAUAUGCUGAAUCAGAAUCCUUGGUCCUCACUGUAUUCCACAACAUUCCCCAUGCUGGGUGUAUUGGCUGUUACAUCAUGUUUGAUCACCUUACCAGUUUCUUGAAGGUCCGCUAAAGAUUGUAACGCCUAGUCUUCAUAUAAAGCAAGACCUAGAACUGAAACAGGAAGAUGGCAUUGAGCGUGAUGUAAGUUUUCACAUCGGUGAUGUAUUGUGCCUGAAGUACUGUAUGAAUAUCAUGAAAUGCAUUGGGUGCAGUAUAUUUCAGUGAUCAUAAAUGAUGAAACAUUAAAACCUAGGAUAUUAGCACUCCUCCACAAUGUUUAUAGAAUUUCAAUUGACUGUAGGUAUAUUGUUCGGUUGUGUGUAAUGGUAUUUGAAUGAAACUUGUAGGAAACAUAAGUUUAUUAACUGUAACCCAAGGUAAUUUUAUUUUACAUAUAAAAAAUGAAUGCCUCAAAUUCGUUCUUGGAACAAAUGUACCAAAGAUGACUUCCUUCCAGCAGCUGUC